UCAAGCACGCUGUCCGGGGAACACACAUCAGCUAUGUGGACUGUCUGUCCAGGACUGAAUAUAUUCAGGUUGAAAGUGUUGAUGACGAUGGAACAGAGCUGCGUUUCCUGAGGAAAAUGGGGCAGCACUAUGUCAUGUCUGAUGUAUUGGACACCUCGUUUUUUUUUUCUCCAAUAAGAUCCUGGACAUUAUGCCUGUUCCAAGGAUUUCUUUUAAAGACACAAAUUGCCUACAUGAUUUCUGUUUAGUAUUGGAUCCCAAUGAUAAAAUUACAAGUUUUAUUCCAGUGAAUGCCAACUAUUUUUUCCUCAUAUUUCGUUUAUUGUUUUUUUUUUUCCCAAUCAUUAAAGUAAGAUGUUAUAACUUAACACUAACUGAGAGGCAAUAUUAUCCUGCUGAGUAUAUUUACAGAGCUUCUACUUCCAAUCUUUUAUAUUCAUUAUAAAAGUGAACUCGAAAUAUUACAAAGAUUCAGUUUUUAAAAACAUAUUUUAUGGUUUUCUGUGUCACAAGUCUAUAGCAUAUAUAUACUAGUACAUUGUAUUUUUUUUAUUUUAUUAUUACUCAAGACAAGCUAACACAUCCUAGGAAUGAUUAAGUCAUUCUGUCAAAUGGGGUCACAUCAGUAUGAUUUGCAGUGUUUUAUGAUGUGUUUUGGCAUAAUCAGUGUCUGUGUUAUGCGCAGAAGGUGAUUUGAAAUAGUCUUUCUACUUCAAUGUGUGCUAUUGAUUUUGGGUUAUCAUAAAUGAUGAAUAAAUCUAUUUCCAUGUA
rnacentral:lncRNA from 1 species